rnacentral:rRNA from 1 species
CUACGUGCCAGCAGCCGCGGUAAUACGUAGGGUGCGAGCGUUAAUCGGAAUAACUGGGCGUAAAGGGCACGCAGGCGGUGACUUAAGUGAGGUGUGAAAGCCCCGGGCUUAACCUGGGAAUUGCAUUUCAUACUGGGUCGCUAGAGUACUUUAGGGAGGGGUAGAAUUCCACGUGUAGCGGUGAAAUGCGUAGAGAUGUGGAGGAAUACCGAAGGCGAAGGCAGCCCCUUGGGAAUGUACUGACGCUCAUGUGCGAAAGCGUGGGGGGCAAACAGGAUUAGAUACCCUGGUAGUCCACGCUGUAAACGAUGUCGAUUUGGGGGUUGAACUUUGAGUUUGGCGCCCGUAGCUAACGUGAUAAAUCGACCGCCUGGGGAGUACGGCCGCAAGGUUAAAACUCAAAUGAAUUGACGGGGGCCCGCACAAGCGGUGGAGCAUGUGGUUUAAUUCGAUGCAACGCGAAGAACCUUACCUACUCUUGACAUCCAUGGAAUCUUGUAGAGAUACGAGAGUGC